UGCCACAGCCAUGUCACCCUGCAGCCCAAGACCGGUUACUCACUGAAGCUAAGAAGGGCUGAGCCUGGUCAGUGCCUGGAAUGGAGACCACCAUGGGAAAAAUAGGUUGGUGUUGGAA
rnacentral:rRNA from 1 species